AGUGAACGCUGGCGGUAGGCCUAACACAUGCAAGUCGAACGGCAGCACAGUAAGAGCUUGCUCUUACGGGUGGCGAGUGGCGGACGGGUGAGGAAUACAUCGGAAUCUACUUUUUCGUGGGGGAUACCGUAGGGAAACUUACGCUACUACCGCAUACGACCUACGGGUGAAAGCAGGGGAUCUUCGGACCUUGCGCGAUUGACUGAGCCGAUGUCGGAUUAGCUAGUUGGCGGGGUAAAGGCCUACCAAGGCGACGAUCCGUAGCUGGUCUGAGAGGAUGACCAGCCACACUGGAACUGAGACACGGUCCAGACUCCUACGGGAGGCAGCAGUGGGGAAUAUUGGACAAUGGGCGAAAGCCUGAUCCAGCCAUACCGCGUGUGUGAAGAAGGCCUUCGGGUUGUAAAGCCCUUUUGUUGGGAAAGAAAAGCAGCAGGUUAAUACCCCGCUGUUAUGACGGUACCCAAAGAAUAAGCACCGGCUAACUUCGUG
rnacentral:rRNA from 1 species